rnacentral:rRNA from 1 species
UACGGGGGGGGCAAGCGUUGUUCGGAAUUACUGGGCGUAAAGGGCUCGUAGGCGGCCAACUAAGUCAGACGUGAAAUCCCUCGGCUUAACCGGGGAACUGCGUCUGAUACUGGAUGGCUAGAGGUUGGGAGAGGGAUGCGGAAUUCCAGGUGUAGCGGUGAAAUGCGUAGAUAUCUGGAGGAACACCGGUGGCGAAGGCGGCAUCCUGGACCAUGACUGACGCUGAGGAGCGAAAGCCAGGGGAGCAAACGGG